UACAGAGGUCUCAAGCGUUGUUCGGAUUCAUUGGGCGUAAAGGGUGCGUAGGCGGCGUGGUAAGUCGGAUGUGAAAUCUCGGAGCUUAACUCCGAAACUGCAUUCGAUACUGCCGUGCUUGAGGACUGGAGAGGAGACUGGAAUUUACGGUGUAGCGGUGAAAUGCGUAGAUAUCUGGAGGAACACCGGUGGCGAAGGCGGCAUCCUGGACUACUACUGACGCUGAGUGAGCGAAAGCCAGGGGAGCAAACGGG
rnacentral:rRNA from 1 species